AGACCCGCUCUCCGGAAAGCGCCGGCCAUUUCUAACCCCGCUCUCCCGAAGGCGCCGGCCAUUUCUAACCCAGCCAGUCCAGCACAAUACAUACACUCACUCAUUCAUUCAUUUCUGAAGAAAGCGUUACCCUGAAUAUAUGUUUUGUCAUGCAGAAUGCAGGCCAGAGUCUACAGACUUGAACAUCCUGGAUUAUGGGGGGUGGGAAGGGGCCCCAGAAUAAAAAUCUGGCAUCUCAUAAGAAGCCCUAUUUCAAGACAGGACCUCGGAAAUGCUGUGCACAGUCAGUAGGGUGGUGCCCUCCUAAGGCUUUUCGAAGAUUCCGGGCUAGAAAAAACAUGCAGCAGUAACCUGACAGGUCUGUGAAGACGGCAGUGUGCCCGUGCCGCCGGUAACACACCCAUCUGCCUCUCUCCAAAGGACCGGGAAACAAACGCCUCGUCUGAGACUGAAAUGAAGCCUGAGAAGCAGUCAUUUUUCUUUAUAUUGUUUGGAAUUAAAAACAUAUUAAAUUGAUCCAUUAUGAAAA